GAUGAACGCUGGCGGCGUGCCUAAUACAUGCAAGUCGAGCGGAGAGUGGACGGGUGAGUAAAACGUGUAUGACACCCUAUAAGACUGGGAUAACUUCGGGAAACCGGAGCUAAACCGGAUAAUUAUAGAUGGAUCUGCGCUGCAUUAGGUAGUUGGUAGGGUAACGGCUUACCAAGGCAACGAUGCAUAGCCGACCUGAGAGGGUGAUCGGCCACACUGGAACUGAGACACGGUCCAGACUCCUACGGGAGGCAGCAGUAGGGAAUCUUCCGCAAUGGGCGAAAGCCUGACGGAGCAACGCCGCGUGAAUGAUGAAGGUCUUCGGAUCGUAAAGCUCUGUUAUUGGGGAAGCGGUACCUAAUCAAAAAGCCACGGCUAACUACGUGCCAGCAGCCGCGGUAAUAC
rnacentral:rRNA from 1 species